rnacentral:rRNA from 1 species
AUACGGAGGAUCCGAGCGUUAUCCGGAUUUAUUGGGUUUAAAGGGUGCGCAGGCGGCCAUUUAAGUCAGCGGUUAAAUCGUGGGGCUCAACCCCAUUCUGCCGUUGAUACUGGGUGGCUUGAUUGCGGUCGAGGUUGGCGGAAUUCGUUGUGUAGCGGUGAAAUGCAUAGAUAUGACGAAGAACACCGAUUGCGUAGGCAGCUGACCAGACCGCAAAUGACGCUCAUGCACGAAAGUGCGGGGAUCGAACAGGAUUAGAUACCCUGGCAGUCCGCACAGUAAACGAUGAAUACUUGUUUUCGGCGAUAUAAUGUCGGAGGCAAAGCGAAAGCGAUAAGUAUUCCACCUGGGGAGUGCGCCGGCAACGGUGAAACUCAAAUGAAUUGGCGGGG